rnacentral:rRNA from 1 species
UUGCACUUUGGCAGACUGAGUGGCGGACGGGUGAGUAACGCGUGGGUAACCUGCCUUAUACAGGGGGAUAACAUUUGGAAACAGAUGCUAAUACCGCAUAAGAUUACAGUACCGCAUGAUACAGUGAUCAAAGGAGCAAUCCGCUGAAAGAUGGGCUCGCGUCCGAUUAGAUAGUUGGUGAGGUAACGGCUCACCAAGUCGACGAUCGGUAGCCGACCUGAGAGGGUGAUCGGCCACAUUGGGACUGAGACACGGCCCAAACUCC